UCGCCUUCAUCUGCCACAGAAACAUGUCAAGAUAAAUCUUAACACAAUCUCUUUUCUUUUCUUUGUGACUUUCUAUCCUUGACAUUAGGGUCAAGAUGUUUUUCUUUUAAAACAACUGGCAAUUCUCUGCCCUUUUGUUCUGUUUGGAUCUGAGCACCCUGUCAUUUCUCUGCGGUCCCCAGUUUUAUUUUUGCUCUGGCAUCACUGGAAAUGAUGGCGUCUCACUUAGUGAUGUUUGCUAUGAAGAUCUCAUGAGCCACUUUAUCCUUCUCCCAGCCAACUGCGGAAGAAACUCAAAUUCCUCUGACAUUGCUGCAUCUGGGCGGAUCCUUGCAGCGGUUGAGGCAAGCACCAAGUGGAAAUACCAGUCAUUUGAUACUGUACCACCUGGGACCGAAGGCCAGAGCCCUCUGUUUAGAAGCUGGUAGCUUGCAGCUGUGUAGCUUGAUGGCAGGUGAAAUGUUGGCAUCUUGAAUGCUGAACCAGUGAGUAAGGUGCUGGGGUUCUAUUUUGCACACUGGUGAACCAGAAGUGACCCAAAUCAUCUGAAGGUCCUUAAUUCCAUGAAUAAAACUAUAUUCAGAAGGUGAUUAUCGUGUAAAGGAGAGGUGCAUUAUCUUUGGGGAACAAGUGACCAUGGAAACAGUGAGUGCAGGAAAUAGUAGAGCUUUGCAUUUGGGUCCUUCAGGAGGCUUUGCAGUGGAAUCACCCUGCAGCUCGGAAAAGUGGGAGCAACGUGCUGUGAUGCCACCUCUUGGCUAAUGAAUGUGGACUGUGAGGUGACAGAGGGAACCCUGAUCAUCUGACACUGACUCUUGGUACAGAACCACUGUGGAAGUCAUCCAGGAGAAAAGCAAACAACUAGUGUGCUGUAUGGUGAAGAUUUUCUGUGUUUAGUGACCGAACUCUUAUUGCCUUUGGAGAAUGAAAUCCACACUUUUUGCUUUUUGGAGUGGUUGACUUGAAUGAUAAUCAACAUGGGGGAGAGAUGGGAUUACUUUCUAAAUGGAGUAAGGGGUAAGCAAGGGUAAGCAUCUUGGACAAAAUGGCGGCAAGUAUGAAAUGACAAAAGCGCUUGUCUCCAGCAUCUGGCUAAGCAGUCUUUUGCCAAGACCCUCACCUUUGGCCUGGAUAGAGGCUCUCUAGCUGGGUCAGAGCAAAGAGCAGCAUCCUGACCAUUCAUUCCAUGGUCUCCUGGCUGACCAAGGGGGGCCAAUUAGGUCCUAUUGUGAUAGAAGUGGGAGGGAAAGUUUCCUCCAUUCCGAUGACCCUUGGAGUGACUCCAUCAGUCUUAAAGGCCAUAGGGGUGGAGGAUGGGGCGCUAUUCUCUACCUCAUUGGGCCAUAGCCAGCCCUGUGUGAGUAAUUGGUUCUGUUCCUUAGCCUGAGGUCCUUCAGAUCUAUGGGAUUGACACUGCCUUCGUGCCUCCCCCAAACAGAAAUUUGCUCAGUUUGUCAUUUCAGAAGAUGGCUGUUUGGGGAUGGGAGGAAGAAAAAUAAAAUAUAAACACUA
rnacentral:lncRNA from 1 species